CCCCAUGAAUGUAACCAGUGUGGUAAAGCCUUCAACCGAAGCUCAAAUCUCAUUCACCACCAGAAAGUUCAUACUGGGGAAAAACCCUACACCUGUGUUGAAUGUGGUAAGGGCUUCAGCCAGAGCUCACACCUCAUUCAGCAUCAGAUAAUCCACACGGGCGAGCGCCCCUACAAAUGCAGUGAGUGUGGGAAAGCCUUC
rnacentral:lncRNA from 1 species